rnacentral:rRNA from 1 species
UACGGAGGGGGCUAGCGUUGUUCGGAAUUACUGGGCGUAAAGCGCGCGUAGGCGGACCUGCAAGUCGGGGGUGAAAGCCCGAGGCUCAACCUCGGAACUGCCUUCGAUACUGCGGGUCUCGAGUCCGGGAGAGGUGAGUGGAAUUCCUAGUGUAGAGGUGAAAUUCGUAGAUAUUAGGAAGAACACCAGUGGCGAAAGCGGCCGACUGGUCGAGUACUGACGCUGAGGCGCGACGGCGUGGGGAGCAAACCGG